AUUGAACGCUGGCGGCAGGCCUAACACAUGCAAGUCGCGCGAGCGGCGGACGGGUGAGUAAUGUCUGGGAAACUGCCUGAUAGAGGGGGAUAACUACUGGAAAAGGUAGCUCAUACCGCAUACCAUCAGAUGUGCCCACAUUGGCUUAGCUAGUAGGUGGGGUAACGGCUCACCUGGGCGACGAUCCCUAGCUGGUCUGAGAGGAUGAGCAGCCACACUGGAACUGAGACACGGUCCAGACUCCUACGGGAGGCAGCAGUGGGGAAUAUUGCACAAUGGGCGCAAGCCUGAUGCAGCCAUGCCGCAUGUGUGAAGAAGGCCUUCGGGUUGUAAAGCACUUUCAGCGGGGAGGCGUUACCCGCAGAAGAAGCACCGGCUAACUCCGUGCCAGCAGCCGCGGUAAUAC
rnacentral:rRNA from 1 species